GCCCAGGUGAUGAAAUUGGUAGACAUGCAGCCUUGAGGGGGCUGUGCUUUUACGAGCGUGUCGGUUCGAAUCCGGUUCUGGGCA
rnacentral:tRNA from 1 species